rnacentral:rRNA from 1 species
GACGAACGCUGGCGGCGUGCUUAACACAUGCAAGUCGAACGAAGUGGCGAACGGGUGAGUAAUACGUGGGUAACCCGCCCUCCUUUUUGGGAUAAGCCUUGGAAACGGGGUCUAAUACCGAAUAAAGGGGGAUGGGCUCGCGGCCUAUCAGCUUGUUGGGGGGGUGCUGGCCUACCAAGGCGGUGACGGGUAGCCGGCCUGCGAGGGUCACCGGCACCGUUGGGCGGGCGAUACGCCCCAGGUACCUACGGGAGGGAGCAGUGGGGGAUAUUGCACAAUGGGCGAAAGGCUAAGGCAGCGGCGUGGCGUGGGGGAUGAGGGCUUUCGGGUUUUAAACCUCUGUCGAUAGCGGACGGUUAGGUGGAGAAGAAGCGCCGGCUAACUACGUGCCAGCAGCCGCGGUAAUUC